ACUGAGAUCUCCAGGAUAAGGAAAAAGAGUGAGUUCAAAAUACAGCCCCAAAUCCAAAAGCAUCUUGCUACUGAGCAGCAGAAGUCUGCACUUCCUAUCAAUAAAGAAUGUGCUUAAUUAAAUUCUAAUGAGCUUGCAACUACUGGCAAACUCUAGCACAUGGAAUACAUGAAUCACUCAUCUUUAGGCAGUACAAGAGUCCUCUGCUAAUGUUUGGAGUCUUAAAUGUAGCCACUUAAACUUCCCAUAGAUCAGACAUAACUAAGGUUCCCAGAAGCUUCACAUGGGCCUGGCCAUAAAACAGUCAGAGGAAGAGCCAAAGGGCAGUAGUGCCGACCUUCAGUCCUCCCUAGAUGCAGCUGUGGAAAGUGGGCACUUUCUCUGAGAAACAAUCCCUUUUUCCUGCAACCCUGGACUGAAUGAAAUUAACAUUUCUGAAACACCUCCAGGGAGCAGACUGUUCUUCGGGAGGCUACAAGCUGUCUCUUCUAGCAAAGAAGGAAGAAAGAUCCUGGAAUUGGAGAAGGAAAUGCCUGGAAUUCCAUGACUGCUUCACAUGGUGGCCCCACCCGCUCUUACCACAGCCAAGGCAGAGCCAGCCUGAAGUCAAGGUCCGCUUGGCCAGCUGGAAAAGAAGAUGUGUGGAAGCAAAACAGCAUCCCUAGCUGUCUCAGUUCCUUUGCAGCAUCAGAGAAACAGUCACACAGCUGAGAAGUAGGCCUGCUGGACUCCAGGAAAGGGGUUGCCUCCCCAAAUCAAGAACAAAUUCUCCUGAAAUACAGGAAGGACAUACAGGAGCCAAUCCUAUUAAAUUAAGAAUAACAGCUUACUCUGCAUGCUUUUUAGUUAGAAGCUUUAACUGCGACCCAUCAGCAGGUAAUCUCCAAGUUGUGGCAAGGACGGAUAGGUGAGAGGGAAACAAGACUGUCUUUAAUAACUAUGUGCUUUCACACACACACACACUUUUCCAGCUUCAUUCCAUUCCCUCUCAGUUGCUGUGGGUAUGUGCCGCCCCUCCCCCACCUGUCCCUGCCUCAAACCAAAGACCGUGUUUACUCACAGGCAGACCUUCGGGAAAACAGACAUCCGGGACUUGCUUCCGAAAUUUCCUAUUAUAUGUAAAGAACACAUUGUCCUUUCAAAGCCAGCCCUGAGACCUAAUAUUUGUCCCAUGCAUCACCACAUUUCACGUUUACCACAAGUGUGGACAGCCUAUAAGCAUCCUGCAGGUCUCCCCAGGAGUUUAAGGUCCCCCCAGUUCCCCAAAGGCUGGACACAUCCAGGCCGAGCUCAGAAGUUUCCUGUUGCGUCAUGAGCAUGUGUCAGCCCUGUGAGGCCACUUGCUACCCCUCAGCAUGGGACUCUUGCUCAGGAGCCACUUGUGGGCAACAUGGAUGUCCAGCCUGGGGACGUAUAGGUAAACACAGUGGUGUACUUCAUGUAGCAGUGUGCAGCAGUUGGAAGUCACCAUGCAGAUGAGCAUGUGGCAGUAUGGAUGAAUCUUACACCUGAAAUGCCAAAUAAAAAAUCAGCAACAGAACGAGGUAGAGAAAACCCACAGUCUUUUACACACAUUAAAACAACAUGCCUCCUAGGCAGCUAAACAAUACAUCUUACACAAGAAUAUAUAGAAACAAAAAGAAGCAGACAUCAAGCAUAUUAGCAUGUAUUGUCUAUAGAUGCAGAAAGGGACUCGUUAAAAAGAACAGAGGGAAUUUGUAGGGACCAGUGAUAAUGGUGUGUCAGUGUGAUAUAAUAAGAUACAAGAAACAUGUAUUUCCCAGACAUAUUUGGUCUUCAUCCACAGCUCCUGAAAACACUUCAGAGCUUUCAAGGUGAAAUGGGUGUCUGGUCAUGUUAAUGAGGGACUUUUGGACCCACCCAAGGGCAGGGGCUGGAGGUGGAAACAGCCAAUGGCCAAUGAUUUAGACAAUCAUGAUUAUGCAAUGAAGCCUUCACAAAAUCCCCUGAGAAGACCUUAUCACUCUCUUGCAUCCUGCUACUCUGUCGGAGAGAGACAUACUAUGCUUAGGGAACCAGAACGCAUCUGUGUGCCAGUUCGUCAGGCCUUACGCUCCAUGAGGAUAGAAGCUCCUUUAUUUGGGACCUUGCCCUGUGUAUCUCUUCAUCUGGCUGUUCACUUGUAUCCUUUACGUUUUACCCCAAUGGCUUGCAUCUACAAGCACUUCUACCAGUGCUUCUCAACUGUAACUGUGCAUAAGAAUCACCCAGGGCAGCUUUGAAAAAUUCUGAGCCCAGAGCACCCCGACCAGUUAAAUCAGAAUCUCUGAGCUGGGUCCCAGUCAUCGGUAAUUUUUAAAGCUCUCAGCUGCUUCUAGUGUGCCCAAGUCAAAUAUCACAUCCAACUCUCUUCUCUAAAUAGAAGCAGGCAGGUAUCCCUCCUUGCCACACAACAAGUACUGUGCCUAAAGCCGAUUUCCCGAUGCUAUUGGAUUUAGUCAGCUGACAUCUAAGUAUUCAUGUUUCCCAAAUAAAAGUGGAUUCUGGUCUCCAGUUAUCAGUUAAUAUGUAAUCAAGUAACAAGAGAAAAGUCUUCAUGGAUGUCACCUAUUUCUGACUCCCAGAACCUGCCAUGUGCUGUUUGGAUCCCUUUUUCUCACUGGCUAAUGAAAUGGGAGACUGUCUGGAGAACACAUCACCCACAUCAAGGCUUCAAUCUAACUAGCUCUGAGAAAGUGAGUUUGGAAUGUGCCAGUCUGAAUUCCAUUCUGAAUUCCCUUAUUUAUUAUUUUCAUGGGGCUCCCCUAACAAAGUACCACAAACUAGGUGGCCUAAACCAACAGAAAUUUAUUCUUUCACAGUGGAGGAGGCCAGAAGUCCAAAAUGAAAGUGUCAGCAGGGACGUGCUCCCUCUGAAGGCUCUGGGCAAGAACCCUGCCUUCCUUGCCUCUGUGGCUCCUGGUGGUUGCUGGCACCCUUGGCUUGCAGUUGCACCCCCCACUCUGCCUCUGCUACCACAUGGCCUGCUGCCCUGUGUCUCUGGGUCUCUGUCUCCUUGUAAGGGCAGCAGUCAUGGGAUUUAUGACCCACGUUCGUCUAGUGUGACCUCAUCUUAACUUGAUUACACCAUCACCGUCAAAGACCCUAUUUCCAAAGAAGGUCACAUUCACAAGUUCAAGGAGAGCACAAAUUCUGGGGGGAACACUAAGGAACCCAGUAUGCCUCAUAAACUGCUUGUAGGUUCUUGUUUUUCAUCACUCGAGUGCAGGUGGUAGAAACAUUUAUCCCAGUCUACCUGUAACUAGUUAGAUACAUAAUUCUUCUCCAGAAUAUUAGAAGGAAAGCCAACUCCCCAUAGUCAAAAGGAAACAAUUUGGCUAAUUAGGCUGGCCUUUUAGACGUUUGUAAGAGAGAUGAAAAAGGCAGGUAUUAUGCUUGAGGGUUUUUUUUUUCAAAUUGUAUUCCACAUUUUUUGCUAUUUUGCUGAUUCCAUGCCUGUUUAAAAACAGAAAACAUAAUACUAAAAAUGUGAUCAACUUGUUUUUCUUCUUUUAAUGAAGCUUGAAGAGACUAUAUAACACACACACACACACACACACCACACACAAUGAACUGCAAGCUCCUUUUAUUGUUCAAAUUUGUUAUUGUAACUGUUCACCUAAAGGCCAUCUAGGUGGCCUCAGGAAGCUCAAAGGACAGCCUAGGCUGAUGGUCAGAUUUUGUAGGAAUUCCUAUAAGAUAUAAUCAUAUAACACCAGUUGCUUCUACUUCAUCAGCAGCUUUCUUUUACAAAAUCCAAGGCAGGUUUUAGCCAGAUCUAUUUUUUAUAUUGCUCUUCAGCCCCACAUCCCAGGUGUACUUGCAAAAUUAAACUGGGUUAGGCUUUAAGGAGUGAGAAGAGGCAUUUGUAAAGCCCCAAAAGUUCCCAAGGUUCCUGGGCUGGCUUAGAGGUCUGGGUUUGGGAAUUCACUAUUCCCACUCCCAUUUCUUCCUGUCAUUUGAACUGUCACCUUGGAGAUGUCACAGCCCAUAUGUGCUUCCUUCUGUGAAAUGAGGCCCAUGAUCAUUGGCUAUGGAACAUCAGGGGAGCUGGAAUAGCAGCCAGGAGAUGUUAACUUAUUCUCACCCACAAGUAACACUGACUCUGUGCUCAAAGAUGCAGCAGGGAGUAGCAGAUCAGAGAUAGCAGAUCAGGAGAUAAAUAGCAGCAAAGAGCCAAAAGCAAGGAUGCAGGCUCUGGAGCUGGACUACCUGGGUUCAAAUCUUAGAUGCAUAUUUUAGGGCACAGGAUACUUAACUUCUCUAAGCCUGUUUGCUCAUCUGUGAAAGGAGGAUAAUGAUGUCACCUGCUUUGCAGAGUCAUACAGAAUUUGUGUGACAGUGAAUGCUGCAUGGUACCCAACACAUAGUAAGCGCUUAGUAGACACUCAGUCCUGUUAACUUGAGUACCAACUCUACCAAAUGUUCAUGGAUGCCUGGAUCAGUCUUCAGAGGUUAUGUUCAGGCUUAUGGGGAAGGAAUGCCCCAACAGAUUAGUGCUGUCUUCCCUGGGUAUAGAAAAAGAGUGGGCCUACUGGAGCCACACAUUUAGUCAUUCCUACAGGAAACAUUUUGGAUUCAUCUCUGUCAUCCUACAACCCAUUCCAGAAGCCCCCACAUGGGAGGCACUCAGCUAAUGUGUAAAUAGCUACUUGGUUAGUGUUUCUUGCUUGAACUGAGCAAGACAGGAGAAGAGGGAAUGGUACCUAAAUUGGGUUCAGAGCCUGAGACUAAAUCUCUCUCCCCAAUAUGGUUUGGAUAUCUCUCUUUUGUGAGUCGAGUCAAGCCAUUGUAAGUCACCCAGACCAUAUAGUUAUACCAGUAGGUAAAUUCUUGCUUUGAAACUGACUGGGCUGUUGUGCAAGAAUGAAGUGAAAACCUGGAAAACUGAUGGGCUAAUGCUGAACAACUGGAGGCAAAAUGCUGUAGGGGAAGGGGCCACUGCUGGUCCCAGCUGCUCCACCAACUCGGCCCACACCCAGGCCCUCUGGUCCUCAGCUCCCUCACCUAAAAGACAAGGAUGAUAAUCCUAACCAGGGCUGUUGAGUGGCUCAAAUGGCAUGAGACACUACAACAUGCUCUACAAAAAAUUGUUUUACAGGGGUAAGGGAGUAAAGAAUAAAAUUCCACGCACCUAUCUAGAGCCUAACCAAAUACAAAAAAAUAUAUAGUCAGCUUAUAUGCAACCAGUUUCAUUUUCUCUAAAUUACAGUCAACCAUCUCUGGUCUUUCUCUGUCUCCCUCUCUGUCUAUCUUCAUCCUGGUAUGAGCCUCCACCUUACCAUUAACAUCCUGUUCUUGUACAAAGCCUAUGGAAACUUCUAGGGUGUCACCACUUCAUCUAACUAUAAGUUAGACUUUAGCUGUGUCGCUCAUUCAAAGCUCAAUGCUGCUGACACAAGUAUGUGGUUCCAGAUACAGCAUCCCAGCCCAAGUUCCUGGACAAGUAGGAAACAAAGCCAAGAAUUCCAAGUUCUGUUCCCACCAACCACACCACAGCUGUGACCUUGAGUAAGUCACUUCCAUUCUCUGGGCUCCAGACCCUCCAUUACCCUCAAGUUCAUGCCUGGAGUUGUCAGAACCAGCUUUAGAGAGAGCCAGAGCCCCACAGUAUUUCUGGGUCAUACAUAGCUAGGAAGUCCACUGAGGGAGAGGAGCCACAGAGAGAAGAACUUGGGCUGAGGCAGAAACUUCCAGAAGGACCCUCAAGCCCACAAAACAUCAGGGGCCACCAAAGUCAUCAGCCAUACUUGGGCAUCAGUGUCUUAGGAGUUGCCAAAAAUAAGCAGGAAAUAUCCCUUAAAUAUAGAUUCUUCACAGUCAGCUUUACUUAGCUGAGUUUGUUAUUAGCUGUUUAUUUCAGAUCUGUGACAAAGCCAAAGUUGAACCCUUAUAGGCAGAAUGGCAGCUGGGUCCCAGGGCAAGCAGUUCAGAAGUAUGUAUCCGCUCUGGGAGGAAAACCCAAUUUGCCCUUUGGGCAGCCUAGGGUUUUUUUUUCUUUUCCACCUACCAUCCAAGUUGUCCAAGGUAAAAGUUAAAAAAAAACUUUGUGAAGAACCUACAAAUUACUAAAUACUGCCUGAGAAGCCAUUUAAGAAAUGGAAAAAAUGAAGGCACAUUGGUUUCUUCCUUCUGUGCUGAUGACAAGGGAGAAUCCCAAGGAAAGAAGCACCCAAAAGGAAGUUAGAGUGCCUGCAGGGAUAAGGAGCUUAAAAUAGACGUUCGGAUCACCUGCUAGGCAGGGGCAGAGUGGUAGAGAAAAUACAGUGCCUAGCCUGCCCCCACCCUGGGGGAGGUGGGUGGUUCUAAGGAUCCACAAGAUUGCAAACUAUUGCAAAGUUUCAUCCCAGGCUGGAGGCUGGGACUCAAGCUGUUCUGUAGGAACCUGGGCAUUCAAGUAAACUGGGGAAAGGGGUCUGGAGAAGCGAGGAACAGAGGAAGGAAGAGGGGAAGCAGCUUGGUGGGAAGAAAGAAACAAUAUCAGAACCUGGAAGGCUUGCCAACAUUAAUUGCUAAAUUUGACCCUAGGAAAAAUUAAUGUGUUGCGUCUUGUACAGACACUGUGCUUGGACCCUUGACAAGUGAGACAUUAUGUAAUCAUGGCAUCAUGCCAACCAAGUGAGGCAGGCAUCCAUGCCCCAUUUACCAGAGAAGGAAAAGGAGGCCCAGAGAGUGACAUGGUUUGCCUACAGUCAUCCAGCUGCAUGCUGCCUGAGUGGAGAUUCCAGAGCAGGUCUCCAGAUUCAGAGACCAGACAGAAACACUGGUGAGGAGGCCCAGUUUGGGUAUUCUUGGAAUGUUGCCACUGACCUAGACUGGGCUCAUUUCUAUGAAGAGUAAAGAAGAUGAGACACACUGAUUGUAAGUGCAUAAAACCAGGACAGAGGGACACGUGCACUAUCUGAGCACCUGGGAAAGCUUGAGGGAGAUAAAAUAAUCAGGAUCUCCAGUCCUCUAAGAUUCCACUGCCCCUUGGCAGGAGGUGGGUGUGAACAUGUGCUGCUCUUACACAAACCCCAGGAGUACAGAGGCUACAGCCACCCAAGGAGGUGCGGGCGAGCAGGUAGCACACCUGUGGGUAGUCAGCCAACCCUCACUGCUGAGACCUGCAAGUCCAAGAGGAGCCGGCAAAUCAGACGUGAAAACAGGAAGGGGAGAGAGGCACCGCAUGUGUUGCUGGGCAGGGCUGGGAGUGUGUGCCACACAGGGCGGCGCCCAGGGCCCUCCCCACCGAGUUAGCACAUCCAGGCUUGUUCCCCCGGGGUUGCCAGCCCAUCUCUCCUGGGUGACCUCGCCUCUCUCACGCUCAGAGGUCCUAGGCUGGUGCCCUACUUUCUAUUUGUUACUUUAUUUACUUCUUAUUAUGAAAUAUUCCCAAAAGGCAGAAGAGUAAAAAAAGUAAUAUAACUUGUGCCCACCACCAGCUCUGUCAAAUCCUAACACUCUUUUCCAUGUUUGCUUCAGAUACUUUUUUACCUUUGAAACCUCCAUGUACCACUCUUUGAUUUCUUUGGCCUUCUGUUUCCAGGGGAAACCACUCCCCAGAAUUUGAUGUUUAUUAUUCCCAUGCAUGACUUUUAGUUUUACAAUGUAUGUACAUUAAUUAAUAACCAAGAGUAUUUUCACAUAUUUUGAACUUUUAAUGGAAUCAUGCUGAAAAUGUAAUACAAACUAAUAUGAUAUUAAUAAACUAUAAUGUAAAAACUAAAUAGAUAAUAUGUGAAAUAUGAUAACAAAUAAAUAUGAUGCUAAUAUAGAUGGAAUCAAACUGCUACUGAUUUUGUUUUUUGCUGUCACCCUUCAUUUGGGAUUCAUCUAUGUUAUUGUUAAUUUAUUUACUUUAAUGUAAUAUCUCUUGUCUGAACAUACUAUAAUUUAUGUAUCCAUUCUACUUUUGAUGGAGAAGCAGUUUACCCACUUUUUUCCAAAUGUUCCAGUUUUUACUCCUGCAAACAAUGGUAUGAUGAGUAUUCAUGCCUAUGUGUGGGUGUCUGGGCUCUAUACCUGGGAGUGGAAAUGCUGGAUCAAGUGAAUGGAUGGAUAUUCUUCAUCCUAGUCCUCCAUCUCUUUUCAGUCUCUUUGCCCAUUCCUUGUUAUCAAGGGUACUUCCCCAGACAGGGGUACUCCUGGAACCGAGGAUAAGAUCAGGAAAUGUACCCACUGCCAGAGAAACUGCUAGACAAAACCAUGCAGUACAUAUGUGCGUGCCCACUCUGAGCCCGGCUGUGUGCUCUUGUCAGUGUGAGUCAGGGCUUCUGGCUGGUCUCCAGGAGCUGAGGGAAUCCACCUGCUGAACGGAGCCCUGAAGACUGGAUUUAAGCCUGCAGGGACCCCACCAGCUAUGUUUUGGGGCCCAACCUAAAACAGACCGCUGUCCUAACAUUAUUUUUUCUUUUAACUAUUUAACUUCAUUUCCCCCGACUACCAAAGUAACACGAUAUUACUCUUGACAUAACAUUUUAGAAAGUUUAGAAAAAUAUUUUUUACAUUAAUCACCCAAAAUGUCCCUCCUCAGAGACAUUAGCUAUUAAUAUUUUAGUCUAUUUCUCUUCAGUCUUUUUCUUAGCAUUUUUUGCUCAUGCAUUAAUUUUAUUGUAUUUUGAUGUUUAACCUAAUAGUGUAUAAUUUUCCAUCUUGUUAAAAACACUAUAAACAUAAUUCUAAUGAAUUCAGAUUGUUCUUUUACUUAGUUUUCUAUUAUCUGGUUAAUUAUUCCUAUAUAUUGGAUAUUCAGGUUCUUUCUAGUUUCUAUUUUCACAAUUAAAACACAACGGGCAUCUUUGGGGACAAAUCAUUGAUGGCUUUUCAGAUCUUUAAGAGAGAAUCUUAGAAGUGUAAUUCUCAGAAGGGCAAAGGACAUUUUUAAAACUUUUGAUAGAUAUUACUAACCUGUUCUAGAAAGAUAACCAUGUUAUGGGCCUAAUGACAAAGUGCUCAGAAUGCCCAGGUGGCCUCCCUUCACCCAGUCAGCUAGUGUGAGGUCUCCAUAUACUGAGGCUCAGAUGUGGAAGGAAAGGGAACCUUUAAAUGCCAGCAUGCCCAGCCACAGACUGUCCGCUUUGGAGGAGAAAAUUGUUUGGAGUCCUCCCAAGCAGUGUAUGUUAAGCUGCUUCCUUCCAUGAGAACUAACAAGACAGCAAAAUGGAUGAAUCACACUGUGGGAAAGUCAGACCAGGAACCAGGUAUCUUACAGAGUAGACAGUUGAAAUAGGCCACUGGGACAGUAAAAGGUGCAUUAUUUAAAUUUCCUUAGGUUAAAAACAGCAACAACAAAAAGCCUCUGGCUAAUUUAAGCACAACAAAAAGGAAUCCUUUGGAGGGAUACUGGCAUCAAAGGGCUGUAUCUACUGUUGGGCAGUCUGUGCACUGUGCAACACAGGUGGUGGCGAAUCAUUCACAUUGCCAUCUAUGUCGUGGCCCUUCCUAGAACUGUGUGGUACACUGCUGACCCAACCAUGUGCAGCAGCCCUGCAGGAAUAUUUCAUAGAACAGUGUUUCUCAAACUAUUU